UAGGGAAUCUUCCACAAUGGACGCAAGUCUGAUGGAGCAACGCCGCGUGAGUGAAGAAGGUUUUCGGACCGUAAAGCUCUGUUGUUGGUGAAGAAGGAUAGAGGUAGUAACUGGCCUUUAUUUGACGGUAAUCAACCAGAAAGUCACGGCUAACUACGUGCCAGCAGCCGCGGUAGUACGUAGGUGGCAAGCGUUGUCCGGAUUUAUUGGGCGUAAAGCGAGCGCAGGCGGAAGAAUAAGUCUGAUGUGAAAGCCCUCGGCUUAACCGAGGAAUUGCAUCGGAAACUGUUUUUCUUGAGUGCAGAAGAGGAGAGUAGAACUCCAUGUGUAGCGGUGGAAUGCGUAGAUAUAUGGAAGAAUACCAGUGGCGAAGGCGGCUCUCUGGUCUGCAACUGACGCUGAGGCUCGAAAGCAUGGGUAGCGAACAGGAUUAGAUACCCUGGUAGUCCAUGCCGUAAACGAUGAGUGCUAAGUGUUGGGAGGCUUCCGCCUCUCAGUGCUGCAGCUAACGCAUUAAGCACUCCGCCUGGGGGAGUACGACCGCAAGGUUGAAAC
rnacentral:rRNA from 1 species